rnacentral:rRNA from 1 species
UUAAAGGGCUGCAGUAUAUUGACUGUACAAAGGUAGCAUAAUCAUUAGUCAUUUAAUUGAUGACUUGUAUGAAGGAUUGGAUGAAAUAUAAACUGUCUCUUAAUUAUAUUUAGAAUUUAAUUUUUUAAUUAAAAAGUUAAAAUAAAUUAGAAAGACGAGAAGACCCUAUAGAGUUUUAUAAGUAAAAUUAAUUGAGAUUAUUUGUAAAGGUUAAGAUUAAGAUUAAUUUAUUUAUUUUGUUGGGGUGACAGAAAAAUAUGAAAAACUUUUUAUAUGUUUAAAACAUUAAUAAGUGGUUAAAUGAUCCAAUAUUAUUGAUUAUAAGAAAAAAUUACCUUAGGGAUAACAGCGUAAUUUUUUUUUUUAGUUCCCAUAAAAAAAAAAGUUUGCGACCUCGAUGUUGGAUUAAGAUAAAAUUUAAAUGCAGAAG